UUUGUAAGAAUAUGAUUGACUAGUAUUUGAGGAGUAUGAAGUGUUGAUUUCAAUUGAUGCUGAAAUACAUCCAAAUGUAAAGGACUCCCUUCUGUGGUUAACAGGGCAUGUGUUCCCUUAAAACAGUGAAAGGGAGACUGUAGAAUAAAUUUCUUUACCUGAUUUAAAAACACAGCCUUGAAAUUAAAAUGAUGAGGAGUAAAAGAUGUCGAUAAGUAUUUGUAGCACUUCACAAAAAGUGCUGUUGUUUUCUAAGACUUCCUAAGGUAGGAUGUUUUUGCUAUUGUCUUUUCUCAAUGGUGUUUUUAUGUCCUUUGUCUGUAUGUUUCAACUAAGCACUUAAGACAAGAAGGAAACACAUUUAAGUACUUUAAAUGUAGAUUCUGUCUUGAUUUGGUUUUUUAUUGGUUUUUCUUUUUCUUACAGUACACUGGGGAGAGCCUACAUACAGGUCCUACACUUUGUCAGGAACUGAGAUACCCUCUGAUGGGACAUUCUGCAUAACCUGCCCUACGUCUGGAACUGACACAACCUCUGAUUCCAUUCAGCUUCCAUUUGUACCCCAAGGAAUCAGUACACCUCGUGGUCCUGCUCCUGAUGAAUCUCUUCCGAUUUACUUUAUACCCCAAGGAACCAGUACACCUGUUGGCCCUGUUCCUAGUGGUAAGUCUGCUUUUCAAGCAGUUUUAGUUACUUAGAUGUGGCUUC
rnacentral:lncRNA from 1 species